GAUGAACGCUGGCGGCGUGCCUAAUACAUGCAAGUCGAGCGAACAGACGAGGAGCUUGCUCCUCUGACGUUAGCGGCGGACGGGUGAGUAACACGUGGAUAACCUACCUAUAAGACUGGGAUAACUUCGGGAAACCGGAGCUAAUACCGGAUAAUAUAUUGAACCGCAUGGUUCAAUAGUGAAAGACGGUUUUGCUGUCACUUAUAGAUGGAUCCGCGCCGCAUUAGCUAAUUGGUACGGUAACGGCUUACCAAGGCAACGAUGCGUAGCCGACCUGAGAGGGUGAUCGGCCACACUGGAACUGAGACACGGUCCAGACUCCUACGGGAGGCAGCAGUAGGGAAUCUUCCGCAAUGGGCGAAAGCCUGACGGAGCAACGCCGCGUGAGUGAUGAAGGUCUUCGGAUCGUAAAACUCUGUUAUUAGGGAAGAACAAAUGUGUAAGUAACUAUGCACGUCUUGACGGUACCUAAUCAGAAAGCCACGGCUAACUACGUG
rnacentral:rRNA from 1 species